CGCAGCCGAGCUCUGCACUGUAGAAAAGCUCAGCAAAAACACAUAUUUGUUUUUGCGUAAUAUCAAAAAUACAAGAGUGGCGAGCAGCAAGGAACUCCAUUACUGACAGGAAAUUCAAACUUUCACACUCUUACAUUCAAGCUCAUGCGGGUUGCUGAUUGUGGGUGAAUGGGCAGAGGAGCACAUGUCAGAUUUUGUGCACCAAUUGGCUGGUAGUGGGUUGUGUUGGAGGCAGAGCUGGGAAAAAGCGAAAAGAAUGUGGGGGUCCUCUUGCUGCGUGUGCGGGCGUGAAAAAAAGCUGUUUUUUUUACAUCGGGAAAGAGCGAACAAGCAGAACUGAUAGUUGUGUAAAUGGGAGUUCCCAGCUGGUCUCACAUCCAGGCACUGACCUGAGCCAGACCUGCUUAGUUCUCAGCAAGAUGGCUGCCUCAUAUGCCCUUCAGACAUGAUCUGGGAUCUCCAGACAGGACUCUGUCAGGAUCCCAUCCAACCCAGAUUCAAGACCCCACAGAGAACUCCACUCCAACAGAAGACCUGGAGAAAUCCACAGUAGUCCAAAGGCAGCCAAAACAACCCCACCUCAGCGAUACCUCACCUAGCUCCUCAAUAAUCCCUCCAGCUACGCCCUAAGCCCUGCCUUGAUCCCCAAUUCACCCCCUUUGUCCCCCAGGCCUCAAGAGUAAAGGGCAGCAGACCUCACGGAAGCCCAGAGUUGCUGUAGAAGCACCCAUUUGGCUUCCAGAUGGCUCUAUCACCAGGUGUCUACUCAGGCAGAAUGGUCUUCUCUAGAGGAGGAAGAAGAUCCAGCUGCAAGCAAUGACCCAGCAGGGGACCAGGAAGAGAAGAAACUGGCAGUAGAUAGGCCUUUUGGUCUUCUCUGGACCUUUUCUGUGUUAAGAGCUCCCUUUUCAAUUCGUUCAAGCCGCAGAACUUCCUGGCUUCCACACUAGGUGCUGGUUGCUUGGGCCACUUUGGGGGCACCUAGCUAACAUGGCUCAAGGAAUUAGACUUUGCUAAAUAAGGCCAAGGGGAAAGAGUGAGGGGGCUGAGACAAGGCUGUAGCUGUCAGUGAAUGAAGGUGAGAGUAGGGAUGUAUGAAUGUCCAUUUUGAUUUCUCUCCAUUUCUAAUUUUUCCUGUCUUAAGCUCUGUUUGUCACAUGCUGCAUCAGUUUGUAAUUUUUUUAAAGUCCUUGCAAACAUCUGUCCUCAUUUUAG